UACGGAGGGUGCAAGCGUUAAUCGGAAUUACUGGGCGUAAAGGGCACGCAGGUGGCUUGGCAAGUCGGAUGUGAAAGCCCCGGGCUUAACUUGGGAAUUGCAUUCGAUACUGCCGAGCUAGAGUAUGGGAGAGGAAAGCGGAAUUCCCGGUGUAGCGGUGAAAUGCGUAGAUAUCGGGAGGAACAUCAGUGGCGAAGGCGGCUUUCUGGCCCAAUACUGACACUCAUGUGCGAAAGCGUGGGGAGCAAACAGG
rnacentral:rRNA from 2 species